CAGGAUGAACGCUAGCGGGAGGCUUAACACAUGCAAGUCGCGGGGCAGCAUGAUGUAGCAAGUACAGUUGAUGGCGACCGGCGCACGGGUGAGUAACGCGUAUGCAACCUGCCCAGUACAGGGGGAUAGCCCGGAGAAAUUCGGAUUAAUACCCCAUAAUGAUAAGAGAUGGCAUCAUUUUUUAUUAAAGUUACGGCGGUACUGGAUAGGCAUGCGUGACAUUAGCUAGUUGGUAGGGUAACGGCCUACCAAGGCAUCGAUGUCUAGGGGGUCCUGAGAGGGUGAUCCCCCACACUGGUACUGAGACACGGACCAGACUCCUACGGGAGGCAGCAGUAAGGAAUAUUGGACAAUGGAGGCAACUCUGAUCCAGCCAUGCCGCGUGCAGGAUGAAGGCCCUAUGGGUCGUAAACUGCUUUUGUACGAGAGAAAACCUAUUUACGUGUAGAUAGUUGAUAGUAUCGUAAGAAUAAGGAUCGGCUAACUUCGUG
rnacentral:rRNA from 1 species